GGUUAAGCGACUAAGCGUACACGGUGGAUGCCCUGGCAGUCAGAGGCGAUGAAGGACGUGCUAAUCUGCGAAAAGCGUCGGUAAGGUGAUAUGAACCGUUAUAGCCGGCGAUGUCCGAAUGGGGAAACCCAGUGCAAUUCGUUGCACUAUCGUUAACUGAAUACAUAGGUUAACGAGGCGAACCGGGGGAACUGAAACAUCUAAGUACCCCGAGGAAAAGAAAUCAACCGAGAUUCCCCCAGUAGCGGCGAGCGAACGGGGAGCAGCCCAGAGUCUGAAUCAGCUUGUGUGUUAGUGGAACGGUCUGGAAAGUCCGACGGUACAGGGUGAUAGUCCCGUACACCAAAAUGCACAGGUUGUGAACUCGAAGAGUAGGGCGGGACACGUGGUAUCCUGUCUGAAUAUGGGGGGACCAUCCUCCAAGGCUAAAUACUCCUGACUGACCGAUAGUGAACCAGUACCGUGAGGGAAAGGCGAAAAGAACCCCGGCGAGGGGAGUGAAAAAGAACCUGAAACCGUGUACGUACAAGCAGUGGGAGCACCUUCGGGUGUGACUGCGUACCUUUUGUAUAAUGGGUCAGCGACUUAUAUUCUGUAGCAAGGUUAACCGUAUAGGGGAGCCGCAGGGAAACCGAGUCUUAACUGGGCGUUAAGUUGCAGGGUAUAGACCCGAAACCCGGUGAUCUAGCCAUGGGCAGGUUGAAGGUUGGGUAACACUAACUGGAGGACCGAACCGACUAAUGUUGAAAAAUUAGCGGAUGACUUGUGGCUGGGGGUGAAAGGCCAAUCAAACCGGGAGAUAGCUGGUUCUCCCCGAAAGCUAUUUAGGUAGCGCCUCGUGAACUCAUCUUCGGGGGUAGAGCACUGUUUCGGCUAGGGGGUCAUCCCGACUUACCAACCCGAUGCAAACUACGAAUACCGAAGAAUGUUAUCACGGGAGACACACGGCGGGUGCUAACGUCCGUCGUGAAGAGGGAAACAACCCAGACCGCCAGCUAAGGUCCCAAAGUCAUGGUUAAGUGGGAAACGAUGUGGGAAGGCACAGACAGCCAGGAUGUUGGCUUAGAAGCAGCCAUCAUUUAAAGAAAGCGUAAUAGCUCACUGGUCGAGUCGGCCUGCGCGGAAGAUGUAACGGGGCUAAACCAUGCACCGAAGCUGCGGCAGCGACACUAUGUGUUGUUGGGUAGGGGAGCGUUCUGUAAGCCUGCGAAGGUGUGCUGUGAGGCAUGCUGGAGGUAUCAGAAGUGCGAAUGCUGACAUAAGUAACGAUAAAGCGGGUGAAAAGCCCGCUCGCCGGAAGACCAAGGGUUCCUGUCCAACGUUAAUCGGGGCAGGGUGAGUCGACCCCUAAGGCGAGGCCGAAAGGCGUAGUCGAUGGGAAACAGGUUAAUAUUCCUGUACUUGGUGUUACUGCGAAGGGGGGACGGAGAAGGCUAUGUUAGCCGGGCGACGGUUGUCCCGGUUUAAGCAUGUAGGCUGGUUAUCCAGGCAAAUCCGGAUAAUCAAGGCUGAGGUGUGAUGACGAGGCACUACGGUGCUGAAGUAACAAAUGCCCUGCUUCCAGGAAAAGCCUCUAAGCAUCAGGUAACAUCAAAUCGUACCCCAAACCGACACAGGUGGUCAGGUAGAGAAUACCAAGGCGCUUGAGAGAACUCGGGUGAAGGAACUAGGCAAAAUGGUGCCGUAACUUCGGGAGAAGGCACGCUGGUGUGUAGGUGAAGUCCCUGCGGAUGGAGCUGAGACCAGUCGAAGAUACCAGCUGGCUGCAACUGUUUAUUAAAAACACAGCACUGUGCAAACACGAAAGUGGACGUAUACGGUGUGACGCCUGCCCGGUGCCGGAAGGUUAAUUGAUGGGGUUAUCCGUAAGGAGAAGCUCUUGAUCGAAGCCCCGGUAAACGGCGGCCGUAACUAUAACGGUCCUAAGGUAGCGAAAUUCCUUGUCGGGUAAGUUCCGACCUGCACGAAUGGCGUAAUGAUGGCCAGGCUGUCUCCACCCGAGACUCAGUGAAAUUGAACUCGCUGUGAAGAUGCAGUGUACCCGCGGCAAGACGGAAAGACCCCGUGAACCUUUACUAUAGCUUGACACUGAACAUUGAGCCUUGAUGUGUAGGAUAGGUGGGAGGCUUUGAAGCGUGGACGCCAGUCUGCGUGGAGCCAACCUUGAAAUACCACCCUUUAAUGUUUGAUGUUCUAACGUUGGCCCCUGACCGGGGUUGCGGACAGUGUCUGGUGGGUAGUUUGACUGGGGCGGUCUCCUCCCAAAGCGUAACGGAGGAGCACGAAGGUUAGCUAAUCCUGGUCGGACAUCAGGAGGUUAGUGCAAUGGCAUAAGCUAGCUUGACUGCGAGCGUGACGGCGCGAGCAGGUGCGAAAGCAGGUCAUAGUGAUCCGGUGGUUCUGAAUGGAAGGGCCAUCGCUCAACGGAUAAAAGGUACUCCGGGGAUAACAGGCUGAUACCGCCCAAGAGUUCAUAUCGACGGCGGUGUUUGGCACCUCGAUGUCGGCUCAUCACAUCCUGGGGCUGAAGUAGGUCCCAAGGGUAUGGCUGUUCGCCAUUUAAAGUGGUACGCGAGCUGGGUUUAGAACGUCGUGAGACAGUUCGGUCCCUAUCUGCCGUGGGCGCUGGAGAAUUGAGGGGGGCUGCUCCUAGUACGAGAGGACCGGAGUGGACGCAUCACUGGUGUUCGGGUUGUCAUGCCAAUGGCACUGCCCGGUAGCUAAAUGCGGAAGAGAUAAGUGCUGAAAGCAUCUAAGCACGAAACUUGCCCCGAGAUGAGUUCUCCCUGAGACUUUAAGUCUCCUGAAGGAACGUUAAAGACGAUGACGUUGAUAGGCCGGGUGUGUAAGCGCAGCGAUGCGUUGAGCUAACCGGUACUAAUGAACCGUGAGGCUUAACCUU
rnacentral:rRNA from 1 species